rnacentral:tRNA from 1 species
CGGGAGGUAGCGCAGCUUGGCUAGCGCGCAACGUUCGGGACGUUGAGGCCGUGGGUUCAAAUCCCACUCUCCCGACCA